UGGCGACCAUAGCAAGAGUGAACCACCUGAUCCCUUCCCGAACUCAGAAGUGAAACCUCUUAGCGCU
rnacentral:rRNA from 1 species